UACGUAGGGCGCAAGCGUUGUCCGGAAUUAUUGGGCGUAAAGAGCUCGUAGGCGGUCUGUACGUCGCUGUGAAAACCCAGGGCUUAACCCUGGGCUUGCAGUGGAUACGGGCAGACUAGAGGCAGGUAGGGGAGAAUGGAAUUCCCGGUGUAGCGGUGAAAUGCGCAGAUAUCGGGAGGAACACCGGUGGCGAAGGCGGUUCUCUGGGCCUGACCUGACGCUGAGGAGCGAAAGCGUGGGGAGCGAACAGG
rnacentral:rRNA from 1 species